rnacentral:rRNA from 1 species
UACGUAGGGUCCGAGCGUUGUCCGGAAUUAUUGGGCGUAAAGGGCUCGUAGGCGGUCUGUCGCGUCGGGAGUGAAAACUUACAGCUUAACUGUGAGCGUGCUUCCGAUACGGGCAGACUUGAGGUAUUCAGGGGGAGAACGGAAUUCCUGGUGUAGCGGUGAAAUGCGCAGAUAUCAGGAGGAACACCAGUGGCGAAGGCGGUUACCUGGAGCUUUGCUGACGCUGAUGCGCGAAAGCGUGGGGAGCGAUCCGG